GAUGAACGCUAGCUACAGGCUUAACACAUGCAAGUCGAGGGGAAACGAUAGGGAAAGCUUGCUUUUUCUAGGCGUCGACCGGCGCACGGGUGAGUAACGCGUAUCCAACCUGCCCAUCACUUGGGGAUAACCUUGCGAAAGUAAGACUAAUACCCAAUGACGUCUCUAGAAGACAUCUGAAGGAGAUUAAAGAUUUAUCGGUGAUGGAUGGGGAUGCGUCUGAUUAGCUUGUUGGCGGGGUAACGGCCCACCAAGGCGAGGAUCAGUAGGGGUUCAGGGGUGAAGGUCCCCCACAUUGGAACUGGGACACGGUCCAAACACCUACGGGAGGCAGCAGUGAGGAAUAUUGGUCAAUGGACGAGAGUCUGAGCCAGCCAAGUAGCGUGCAGGAAGACGGCCCUAUGGGUUGUAAACUGCUUUUAUAAGGGAAUAAAGUGAGUCUCGUGAGACUUUUUGCAUGUACCUUAUGAAUAAGGACCGGCUAAUUCCGUGCCAGCAGCCGCCGUAA
rnacentral:rRNA from 1 species